rnacentral:rRNA from 1 species
GCUUGUCUCAAAGAUUAAGCCAUGCAUGUCUAAGUGUAAAUAAGUCUAUACUGUGAAACUGCGAAUGGCUCAUUAAAUCAGUUAUCGUUUAUUUGAUGAUCUCUUACUACUUGGAUAACCGUAGUAAUUCUAGAGCUAAUACAUGCACUGAAGCCCCGACUCCGGCAACGGCAGAAGGGGUGCUUUUAUUAGAUCAAAACCAAUGGGAGGCGGCCGUCAAAAAGCCGCCACCGUCCUUGAUGGUGACUCUGAAUAACUUUGGCUGAUCGCACGGCUUUAACGCCGGCGACGCAUCUUUCAAAUGUCUGCCUUAUCAACUUUCGAUGGUA